AUGAAGAAAUGGAUUCAUCCAUUACUCAUAUUCUUGUGGCUGCAGCUGUACUGGGUAAGCAGAGGAGAGAAGGUGGAGCAGAGUCCUUCUACCCUGAGUGUCCAGCAGGGAGACAGCGCUGUUAUCAACUGUACUUAUUCAGAUAGUAGUUCAGAGUACUUCCCUUGGUAUAAGCAAGAAGCUGGAAAAGGUCCCCAGUGUAUUAUAGACAUUCGUUCAAAUAAGGACAUAAAUCAAAUCCAAAGACUCAUUGUUGUGUUGGAUAAGAAAGCCAAACACUUUUCCCUGAACAUCACAGCUGCCCAAUCUGGAGACUCAGCUGUCUACUUCUGUGCAGCUGAUGCAGGAUGCUUCCCAGACACCUGCAGCCUGUACUCAAACCUGCCACUGGGCUAA